GUAGAUGGCUCUUACUAUGUUGUUCAGGCUGGUCUCUUACUCCUGGCCUCAAGUGAUCCUCCUGCCUCAGCCUCCCAGUGUUGGGACUACAAGCACCAGCCACUGCCCCCAACCCUGCAUUAUGUUCUUAAAGGCAGACCUGAAUCCUGUGCGGUGUCAAUUCAGGUGUGCACUGGCCCCUGAGCCUUACAUACAGGACCCGUUCCUUAGGAUGUUGCGUUCCCUUGCUUAGAGCCUCAGCACCAUGGCACCUGGCUCUCCCCCGAUGCCUGGGUCUUGCUCUUGCCCAUUUCCUAGCCAGGGUUUGUGGUCCAGGCAACCUGUCACAUCAGUGUGUUCCAAACAUGGCACCCAAAUCUCAAAAGCUGCUUCAACGCUCCCAUGGUUUGGGAUACACCUCAAGUUUUAACUUACGUACUUCAAGUUUCUUUUAUUCAAUUAGAUACAACCGUCUGACUUUUGGCUUCUGAAACAGGAAAGUCAAUUUUGUUGUUUUCACUGUACCAUGCUUUUUUAUCUCAGAAUCUUGAUGAACUCUGAAAUGACCCCUGAUGGGGGCAUGCCUCUAUUUAUGCUGAAUAAGAGCCAUUUUACAUUUUACUACAGGUUGAGUGCCCCUAAUCCAAAAAUUUGAAAUGCUCCAAAAUCUGAAACUUUUUGAGCACUUACAUGGUAAUGAAAGGAAAUGCUCAUUGGAACAUUUCCGAUUAGGCAUGCUCAGCCGUUAAGCAUAAUGCAAAUAUUAAAAAAAAAAAUUUCCUAAAUCUUUUAAUACUUCUGGUUCCAAGCAUUUCAGAUAAGGGAUACUCAAGCUCUACCUAUUCCCAAAUUCCCACUAACUAGCUCUUUAGCAGGUCUAUGGAAUAAAAAUUGAUGCUUCUGAUUACUUUAAGGCAUUAUAACCUCAUGAAGUGGUUUCUGAGAUGCAACUGAGUUUUUGUGCUAUUUUAUUGUAUUCUUAUAUCUUUGAAGAUGAAUAAUCCACGUAGUGCAUUUGAGAGGUUCUACCUGUUCAAGAGAGGAAAUUUAAUAUCCGUGACUACUGUAUGUCAAAUGAUUUAGUGCCUUAUUUAAUUUGUUCCUCUAGGAGUCCUGUGCACUUAUCUUGGGGGAAACAUUGUUCCAUUCUUAGUAACAUGCCUGUUUGGCCUGUGGUCUGAGGUACUUACAACUGCUGCAGUGUGGUAAAUGUGUCCCUUUUGAAACACUGUUCUGGGGACUUCAGAGAUGACUGACUGCAACCUACCACCUCAUAAAUGAGGGAUCUGAGGUACAAACUGGAACCCGGGUCUUCUGGGCUCAGAGAACUCUCCUCACUACAGCAGACUGCCUGUUUCCAUUUAGGGGAAUGAGAUGCUCUUUCAUAAAUGAUACCAAGUCCAAGAGAACCCCUUAAGGCAGCUCCAAUCGAAGACUGUCUUGGCUGCUUCUGGAAACUACAGAUCACUACUCCCGAAGUCAAAAACGACUAGAACACAGCUUAAAAAUCAAGCCAUUUAAUUGUAUCUUUGAAGGUAAACAAUAUAUGGAGCUGGAUCACAACCCCUGAGGAUGCCAGAGCUAUGGGUCCAAAACAUGGUGUGGUAUUAUCAACAGAGUUCAGAAGGGUCUGAACUCUACGUGUUACCAGAGAACAUAAUGCAAUUCAUGCAUUCCACUUAGCAAUUUUGUAAAAUACCAGAAACAGACCCCAAGAGUCUUUCAAGAUGAGGAAAAUUCAACUCCUGGUUUUAGAGAUAAACGAAUGAAGAGUACCAAAACGUUUGUUGACUUCUCUUCAUUUUUCUCACACAAUCUGAAGCCUGAGCUGACUAUCAUAUCCCCAACUCACAGCAGCGAAAGCUGCAGUUCAGGUUUGAGAUCAGUCUCCAUUCACUUCCACGUAGCACCACAGCAAGAGUGACCGGAGACAGAGAGCUCUUGUUGGGUCAGCUUUCUAAUAAACACGUCAAGUGAAAAAGAACCCUCUAGCAGCACACUGAUUUAGUUUGUAAGAUUUUAAUUUACAAAUUUAAAAAGCUAUUUAAUAC
rnacentral:lncRNA from 1 species